rnacentral:misc_RNA from 1 species
CUACAAUAUAACACUGAUUCAGAAGUGCUAUGAAAUUAGAAGAAUGGCUAACAUUUUAACUAUUUCUUUAUAAUUGAACCAGAAUCAUCCUCACCUGAGGGAAGUAACAAGGAAACCGAGCAGCGAAGAAUUAUCAACCAAUUGUUACCAUUUGCAACAGUGAAAAUGCUAACAACAGCUCAAAGUACUAGAAAAGGUUUUGGUACAUUAGUAACUAAUAUGUCUCUACAGAUAAAAUUCAGCUAACAUACUGUUAUCAACAAUCUUUACUUGCUUUUUUCAGUAACUGGGAAGUAGACACCCUCUGCUGCCAACCAAACAUUAUCUGGACGUUUUUCUUUAACACCGCAAACCUCUUGCUGACCUCCAGCAAUUCGGGUGUAUUUCUUGUCAUGACUGUGGAGAUAACCACCAGUGUCCACGUGUUGAAGCCUGAUUCUUUGGUCUUGCCUCCAAGUUUUCCCACUGCCCUCAAUUUCAAGUCUCCAAUAGUCCCCUGUAUCAGAUUCCUUGUCAUCACCGAAGCAGCUGACCUCCAUAUUUCCUGAUAUGGGAGAAGCAUGCAAAUGGCUAUGUAACCAUCUUCUUGUCUUUAUAUGUUGCAGCCUGAUGAUGCUUCCACUCUUUAUAGGAUCACCUUGCUUGGACGAGUCGGUGCUCCUAACAGCCCAGUAGCUGUUAGCAUCAUCUACGCCGGGAAAUCCAGUGGGCAGCAAUCAGUCACUGGAUUUCCCGGCGUAGAUGAUGCUAACAGCUACUGGGCUGUUAGGAGCACCGACUCGUCCAAGCAAGGUGAUCCUAUAAAGAGUGGAAGCAUCAUCAGGCUGCAACAUAUAAAGACAAGAAGAUGGUUACAUAGCCAUUUGCAUGCUUCUCCCAUAUCAGGAAAUAUGGAGGUCAGCUGCUUCGGUGAUGACAAGGAAUCUGAUACAGGGGACUAUUGGAGACUUGAAAUUGAGGGCAGUGGGAAAACUUGGAGGCAAGACCAAAGAAUCAGGCUUCAACACGUGGACACUGGUGGUUAUCUCCACAGUCAUGACAAGAAAUACACCCGAAUUGCUGGAGGUCAGCAAGAGGUUUGCGGUGUUAAAGAAAAACGUCCAGAUAAUGUUUGGUUGGCAGCAGAGGGUGUCUACUUCCCAGUUACUGAAAAAAGCAAGUAAAGAUUGUUGAUAACAGUAUGUUAGCUGAAUUUUAUCUGUAGAGACAUAUUAGUUACUAAUGUACCAAAACCUUUUCUAGUACUUUGAGCUGUUGUUAGCAUUUUCACUGUUGCAAAUGGUAACAAUUGGUUGAUAAUUCUUCGCUGCUCGGUUUCCUUGUUACUUCCCUCAGGUGAGGAUGAUUCUGGUUCAAUUAUAAAGAAAUAGUUAAAAUGUUAGCCAUUCUUCUAAUUUCAUAGCACUUCUGAAUCAGUGUUAUAUUGUAG